AAAAUGCGAUAAGUAAUGUGAAUUGCAGAAUUCAGUGAAUCAUCGAAUCUUUGAACGCACAUUGCGCCCGCCAGUAUUCUGGCGGGCAUGCCUGUUCGAGCGUCAUUUCAACCCUCAAGCUCAGCUUGGUGUUGGGACUCGCGGUAACCCGAGUUCCCCAAAUCGAUUGGCGGUCACGUCGAGCUUCCAUAGCGUAGUAAUCAUACACCUCGUUACUGGUAAUCGUCGCGGCCACGCCGUAAAACCCCAACUUCUGAAUGUUGACCUCGGAUCAGGUAGGAAUACCCGCUGAACUUAAG
rnacentral:misc_RNA from 1 species